GACGAACGCUGGCGGCGUGCCUAAUACAUGCAAGUAGAACGCACAGUUUAUACCGUAGCUUGCUACACCAUAAACUGUGAGUUGCGAACGGGUGAGUAACGCGUAGGUAACCUGCCUGGUAGCGGGGGAUAACUAUUGGAAACGAUAGCUAAUACCGCAUAAUAUUAAUUAUUGCAUGAUAAUUGAUUGAAAGAUGCAAUUGCAUCACUACCAGAUGGACCUGCGUUGUAUUAGCUAGUAGGUGAGGUAACGGCUCACCUAGGCGACGAUACAUAGCCGACCUGAGAGGGUGAUCGGCCACACUGGGACUGAGACACGGCCCAGACUCCUACGGGAGGCAGCAGGAGGGAAUCUUCGGCAAUGGACGAAAGUCUGAACGAGCAACGCCGCGGGAGUGAAGAAGGGUUUCGGAUCGUAAAGCUCUGUUGUAAGAGAAGAACGGGUGUGAGAGUGGAAAGUUCACACUGUGACGGUAUCUUACCAGAAAGGGACGGCUAACUACGUG
rnacentral:rRNA from 1 species